CGACGAGGCACUACGGUGCUGAAGCAACAAAUGCCCUGCUUCCAGGAAAAGCCUCUAAGCAUCAGGUAACAUCAAAUCGUACCCCAAACCGACACAGGUGGUCAGGUAGAGAAUACCAAGGCGCUUGAGAGAACUCGGGUGAAGGAACUAGGCAAAAUGGUGCCGUAACUUCGGGAGAAGGCACGCUGACACGUAGGUGAAGUGAUUUACUCAUGGAGCUGAAGUCAGUCGAAGAUACCAGCUGGCUGCAACUGUUUAUUAAAAACACAGCACUGUGCAAACACGAAAGUGGACGUAUACGGUGUGACGCCUGCCCGGUGCCGGAAGGUUAAUUGAUGGGGUCAGCGCAAGCGAAGCUCCUGAUCGAAGCCCCGGUAAACGGCGGCCGUAACUAUAACGGUCCUAAGGUAGCGAAAUUCCUUGUCGGGUAAGUUCCGACCUGCACGAAUGGCGUAAUGAUGGCCAGGCUGUCUCCACCCGAGACUCAGUGAAAUUGAACUCGCUGUGAAGAUGCAGUGUACCCGCGGCAAGACGGAAAGACCCCGUGAACCUUUACUAUAGCUUGACACUGAACAUUGAGCCUUGAUGUGUAGGAUAGGUGGGAGGCUUUGAAGUGUGGACGCCAGUCUGCAUGGAGCCGACCUUGAAAUACCACCCUUUAAUGUUUGAUGUUCUAACGUGGACCCGUAAUCCGGGUUGCGGACAGUGUCUGGUGGGUAGUUUGACUGGGGCGGUCUCCUCCUAAAGAGUAACGGAGGAGCACGAAGGUUGGCUAAUCCUGGUCGGACAUCAGGAGGUUAGUGCAAUGGCAUAAGCCAGCUUGACUGCGAGCGUGACGGCGCGAGCAGGUGCGAAAGCAGGUCAUAGUGAUCCGGUGGUUCUGAAUGGAAGGGCCAUCGCUCAACGGAUAAAAGGUACUCCGGGGAUAACAGGCUGAUACCGCCCAAGAGUUCAUAUCGACGGCGGUGUUUGGCACCUCGAUGUCGGCUCAUCACAUCCUGGGGCUGAAGUAGGUCCCAAGGGUAUGGCUGUUCGCCAUUUAAAGUGGUACGCGAGCUGGGUUUAGAACGUCGUGAGACAGUUCGGUCCCUAUCUGCCGUGGGCGCUGGAGAACUGAGGGGGGCUGCUCCUAGUACGAGAGGACCGGAGUGGACGCAUCACUGGUGUUCGGGUUGUCAUGCCAAUGGCACUGCCCGGUAGCUAAAUGCGGAAGAGAUAAGUGCUGAAAGCAUCUAAGCACGAAACUUGCCCCGAGAUGAGUUCUCCCUGAGACUUAGAGUCUCCUGAAGGAACGUUGAAGACGACGACGUUGAUAGGCCGGGUGUGUAAGCGCAGCGAUGCGUUGAGCUAACCGGUACUAAUGAACCGUGAGGCUUAACCUU
rnacentral:rRNA from 1 species